UUAAGCGACUAAGCGUACACGGUGGAUGCCCUGGCAGUCAGAGGCGAUGAAGGACGUGCUAAUCUGCGAUAAGCGUCGGUGAGGUGAUAUGAACCGUUAUAACCGGCGAUUUCCGAAUGGGGAAACCCAGUGUGUUUCGACACACUAUCAUUAACUGAAUCCAUAGGUUAAUGAGGCGAACCGGGGGAACUGAAACAUCUAAGUACCCCGAGGAAAAGAAAUCAACCGAGAUUCCCCCAGUAGCGGCGAGCGAACGGGGAGGAGCCCAGAGCCUGAAUCAGUGUGUGUGUUAGUGGAAGCGUCUGGAAAGGCGUGCGAUACAGGGUGACAGCCCCGUACACAAAAAUGCACAUAUUGUGAGCUCGAUGAGUAGGGCGGGACACGUGGUAUCCUGUCUGAAUAUGGGGGGACCAUCCUCCAAGGCUAAAUACUCCUGACUGACCGAUAGUGAACCAGUACCGUGAGGGAAAGGCGAAAAGAACCCCGGCGAGGGGAGUGAAAAAGAACCUGAAACCGUGUACGUACAAGCAGUGGGAGCCUCUUAAUGGGGUGACUGCGUACCUUUUGUAUAAUGGGUCAGCGACUUAUAUUCUGUAGCAAGGUUAACCGAAUAGGGGAGCCGAAGGGAAACCGAGUCUUAACUGGGCGUUAAGUUGCAGGGUAUAGACCCGAAACCCGGUGAUCUAGCCAUGGGCAGGUUGAAGGUUGGGUAACACUAACUGGAGGACCGAACCGACUAAUGUUGAAAAAUUAGCGGAUGACUUGUGGCUGGGGGUGAAAGGCCAAUCAAACCGGGAGAUAGCUGGUUCUCCCCGAAAGCUAUUUAGGUAGCGCCUCGUGAAUUCAUCUCCGGGGGUAGAGCACUGUUUCGGCAAGGGGGUCAUCCCGACUUACCAACCCGAUGCAAACUGCGAAUACCGGAGAAUGUUAUCACGGGAGACACACGGCGGGUGCUAACGUCCGUCGUGAAGAGGGAAACAACCCAGACCGCCAGCUAAGGUCCCAAAGUCAUGGUUAAGUGGGAAACGAUGUGGGAAGGCCCAGACAGCCAGGAUGUUGGCUUAGAAGCAGCCAUCAUUUAAAGAAAGCGUAAUAGCUCACUGGUCGAGUCGGCCUGCGCGGAAGAUGUAACGGGGCUAAACCAUGCACCGAAGCUGCGGCAGCGACACUAUGUGUUGUUGGGUAGGGGAGCGUUCUGUAAGCCUGUGAAGGUGGCCUGUGAGGGUUGCUGGAGGUAUCAGAAGUGCGAAUGCUGACAUAAGUAACGAUAAAGCGGGUGAAAAGCCCGCUCGCCGGAAGACCAAGGGUUCCUGUCCAACGUUAAUCGGGGCAGGGUGAGUCGACCCCUAAGGCGAGGCCGAAAGGCGUAGUCGAUGGGAAACAGGUUAAUAUUCCUGUACUUGGUGUUACUGCGAAGGGGGGACGGAGAAGGCUAUGUUGGCCGGGCGACGGUUGUCCCGGUUUAAGCGUGUAGGCUGGUUUUCCAGGCAAAUCCGGAAAACCAAGGCUGAGGCGUGAUGACGAGGCACUACGGUGCUGAAGCGACAAAUGCCCUGCUUCCAGGAAAAGCCUCUAAGCAUCAGGUAACAUCAAAUCGUACCCCAAACCGACACAGGUGGUCAGGUAGAGAAUACCAAGGCGCUUGAGAGAACUCGGGUGAAGGAACUAGGCAAAAUGGUGCCGUAACUUCGGGAGAAGGCACGCUGAUAUGUAGGUGAAGCGACUUGCUCGUGGAGCUGAAAUCAGUCGAAGAUACCAGCUGGCUGCAACUGUUUAUUAAAAACACAGCACUGUGCAAACACGAAAGUGGACGUAUACGGUGUGACGCCUGCCCGGUGCCGGAAGGUUAAUUGAUGGGGUUAGCGGUAACGCGAAGCUCUUGAUCGAAGCCCCGGUAAACGGCGGCCGUAACUAUAACGGUCCUAAGGUAGCGAAAUUCCUUGUCGGGUAAGUUCCGACCUGCACGAAUGGCGUAAUGAUGGCCAGGCUGUCUCCACCCGAGACUCAGUGAAAUUGAACUCGCUGUGAAGAUGCAGUGUACCCGCGGCAAGACGGAAAGACCCCGUGAACCUUUACUAUAGCUUGACACUGAACAUUGAGCCUUGAUGUGUAGGAUAGGUGGGAGGCUUUGAAGUGUGGACGCCAGUCUGCAUGGAGCCGACCUUGAAAUACCACCCUUUAAUGUUUGAUGUUCUAACGUUGGCCCGUAAUCCGGGUUGCGGACAGUGUCUGGUGGGUAGUUUGACUGGGGCGGUCUCCUCCUAAAGAGUAAUGGAGGAGCACGAAGGUUGGCUAAUCCUGGUCGGACAUCAGGAGGUUAGUGCAAUGGCAUAAGCCAGCUUGACUGCGAGCGUGACGGCGCGAGCAGGUGCGAAAGCAGGUCAUAGUGAUCCGGUGGUUCUGAAUGGAAGGGCCAUCGCUCAACGGAUAAAAGGUACUCCGGGGAUAACAGGCUGAUACCGCCCAAGAGUUCAUAUCGACGGCGGUGUUUGGCACCUCGAUGUCGGCUCAUCACAUCCUGGGGCUGAAGUAGGUCCCAAGGGUAUGGCUGUUCGCCAUUUAAAGUGGUACGCGAGCUGGGUUUAGAACGUCGUGAGACAGUUCGGUCCCUAUCUGCCGUGGGCGCUGGAGAACUGAGGGGGGCUGCUCCUAGUACGAGAGGACCGGAGUGGACGCAUCACUGGUGUUCGGGUUGUCAUGCCAAUGGCACUGCCCGGUAGCUAAAUGCGGAAGAGAUAAGUGCUGAAAGCAUCUAAGCACGAAACUUGCCCCGAGAUGAGUUCUCCCUGACUCCUUGAGGGUCCUGAAGGAACGUUGAAGACGACGACGUUGAUAGGCCGGGUGUGUAAGCGCAGCGAUGCGUUGAGCUAACCGGUACUAAUGAACCGUGAGGCUUAACCUU
rnacentral:rRNA from 2 species